AUAACAAAGUCGCUUAAUGUUGCUCACAGCAACAGUGGGAGAACCAAUUUUUUGGGGUGUAUUUGUCCAGGCAUGUCCUUGGGAUAUCCUGACAUCAGGGAACCUUCUUUUCCCUAACCCGGCAGCUAAUCUCAUAGGCGGAAGAGGGACACGGA
rfam:Clostridiales bacterium 1_7_47_FAA supercont2.4 genomic scaffold, whole genome shotgun sequence.